CCUCUGGAUAGAGAAGAUACGUAGGCAUAGGACGCGAUGUCUUAGCGAGCAUGUCUUCUUUUCCCGAACUAAGUUGACUCUGAUGUUUGUUUUUGACAAACUACGUAGGCCCAGGAUGCGAUAUCCUGCCGAGUCCACUUCCUCCAUUUUCUUUCUCUUCCCCACCUGUUUAUCAUUCCAGUUUGUGCAGUUUUUUUGAGCAGUUUAUUAGCAACCCUU
rnacentral:lncRNA from 1 species